rnacentral:rRNA from 1 species
UACGUAGGGUGCAAGCGUUGUCCGGAAUUAUUGGGCGUAAAGAGCUCGUAGGCGGUCUGUCACGUCGGCUGUGAAAUCCCGAGGCUCAACCUCGGGUCUGCAGUCGAUACGGGCAAACUAGAGUAUUGCAGGGGAGACUGGAAUUCCUGGUGUAGCGGUGAAAUGCGCAGAUAUCAGGAGGAACACCGGUGGCGAAGGCGGGUCUCUGGGCAAUAACUGACGCUGAGACACGAAAGCCAGGGGAGCGAACGGG